rnacentral:rRNA from 1 species
AGCGAACGCUGGCGGCAGGCCUAACACAUGCAAGUCGAACGAAGUCUACGGACUUAGUGGCGGACGGGUGAGUAACACGUGGGAACGUGCCUUUAGGUUCGGAAUAACUCAGGGAAACUUGUGCUAAUACCGAAUGUGCCCUUCGGGGGAAAGGUUUAUCGCCUUUAGAGCGGCCCGCGUCUGAUUAGCUAGUUGGUGAGGUAAAGGCUCACCAAGGCUACGAUCAGUAGCUGGUCUGAGAGGAUGACCAGCCACAUUGGGACUGAGACGCGGCCCAAACUCCUACGGGAGGCAGCAGUGGGGAAUCUUGCGCAAUGGGCGAAAGCCUGACGCAGCCAUGCCGCGUGGAUGAUGAAGGUCUUAGGAUUGUAAAAUCCUUUCACCGGUGAAGAUAAUGACUGUAGCCGGAGAAGAAGCCCCGGCUAACUUCGUGCCAGCAGCCGCGGUAAGAC